GUGCCCCCAGCCGCGGUAAUACGGAGGGUGCAAACGUUAUCCGGAUUUAUUGGGUUUAAAGGGUCCGUAGGCGUAUGCGUAAGUCAGUGGUGAAAUCUCACAGCUCAACUGUGAAACUGCCAUUGAUACUGCGUGUCUUGAGUGAGGUUGAAGUAGCUGGAAUAAGUAGUGUAGCGGUGAAAUGCAUAGAUACUACUUAGAACACCAAUUGCGAAGGCAGGUUGCUAAGUCUCAACUGACGCUGAUGGACGAAAGCGUGGGGAGCGAACAGGAUUAGAUACCCUGGUAGUCCACGCUGUAAACGAUGCUAACUCGUUUUUGGGGAUUUAUCUUCAGAGACUAAGCGAAAGUGAUAAGUUAGCCACCUGGGGAGUACGAACGCAAGUUUGAAACUCAAAGGAACUGACGGGGGCCCGCACAAGCGGUGGAUUAUGUGGUUUAAUUCGAUGAUACGCGAGGAACCUUACCAAGGCUUAAAUGGGAAUUGAUCGGCUUAGAAAAUAGACCUUCCUUCGGGCAAAUUUUCAAGGUGCCUGCAUGGUUUGUCGUCAGCUCGUGCCCGUGAGGUGUUAGGUUAAGGUCCUGCUACGAGCGCAACCCCUGUCACUAGUUGCCAUCAUUCAUUUGGGGA
rnacentral:rRNA from 1 species